AUUGAACGCUGGCGGCAGGCCUAACACAUGCAAGUCGAACGAGUGGCGGACGGGUGAGUAAUGUCUGGGAAACUGCCUGAUGGAGGGGGAUAACUCCUGGAAACGGUAGCUAAUACCGCAUACCAUCAGAUUUGUCCAGAUGGGAUUAGCUAGUAGGUGGGGUAACGUGUCACCUAGGCUACGAUCCCUAGCUGGUCUGAGAGGAUGGCCAGCAGCACUGGAACUGAGAAACGGUCCAUACUCCUACGGAGGGGAGCAGGGGGGAAGAGGGCAAAAUGGGCGCAAGCCUGAUGCGGCCAUGCCGCGUGGAUGAAGAAGGCAUUCGGGUUGUAAAGUAUUUUCAGCGGGGAGGCGUUACCCGCAGAAGAAGCACCGGCUAACGCCGUGCCAGCAGCCGCGGUAAUAC
rnacentral:rRNA from 1 species